AGUGUGUGUGUUAGUGGAAGCGUCUGGAAAGGCGCGCGAUACAGGGUGACAGCCCCGUACACAAAAAUGCACAUAUUGUGAGCUCGAUGAGUAGGGCGGGACACGUGGUAUCCUGUCUGAAUAUGGGGGGACCAUCCUCCAAGGCUAAAUACUCCUGACUGACCGAUAGUGAACCAGUACCGUGAGGGAAAGGCGAAAAGAACCCCGGCGAGGGGAGUGAAAAAGAACCUGAAACCGUGUACGUACAAGCAGUGGGAGCCUCUUAAUGGGGUGACUGCGUACCUUUUGUAUAAUGGGUCAGCGACUUAUAUUCUGUAGCAAGGUUAACCGAAUAGGGGAGCCGAAGGGAAACCGAGUCUUAACUGGGCGUUAAGUUGCAGGGUAUAGACCCGAAACCCGGUGAUCUAGCCAUGGGCAGGUUGAAGGUUGGGUAACACUAACUGGAGGACCGAACCGACUAAUGUUGAAAAAUUAGCGGAUGACUUGUGGCUGGGGGUGAAAGGCCAAUCAAACCGGGAGAUAGCUGGUUCUCCCCGAAAGCUAUUUAGGUAGCGCCUCGUGAAUUCAUCUCCGGGGGUAGAGCACUGUUUCGGCAAGGGGGUCAUCCCGACUUACCAACCCGAUGCAAACUGCGAAUACCGGAGAAUGUUAUCACGGGAGACACACGGCGGGUGCUAACGUCCGUCGUGAAGAGGGAAACAACCCAGACCGCCAGCUAAGGUCCCAAAGUCAUGGUUAAGUGGGAAACGAUGUGGGAAGGCCCAGACAGCCAGGAUGUUGGCUUAGAAGCAGCCAUCAUUUAAAGAAAGCGUAAUAGCUCACUGGUCGAGUCGGCCUGCGCGGAAGAUGUAACGGGGCUAAACCAUGCACCGAAGCUGCGGCAGCGACACUAUGUGUUGUUGGGUAGGGGAGCG
rnacentral:rRNA from 1 species